AUGGAUGGCGGUGGUGCUGAGGAUGGGGAAGGCGCUGCGGAGCAAAGCCAGUGCGCGGCGGCGGAGGGGUCCGACCUUGGCGCUCCCGCGGAUCCGGCGAUGGCGAGCCUUGGCGACGGCUGUGGUGCGGAGGGGUCGGGCCAGCACGCGGCUACGGCUGCGGAGGGGCUGCGUCAGCGCACGGCUUCAGCAGGAGGCGGUGUCUCAGCUGCAGCAAUCACGGGCCAGGGCGGGGCAUGGGCUGAGGGCUCGACCGCCGGCAUGGCUGGAGGCUCAGGCCAAGGCACGGCUGGUUCGGGCUCGACAGCAGCUGUAGGCUCAGGCCAAUACGCUGCUGAAUCGGCCUCGGCAGCAGAUCAGGGAAGGGGAAGAAGAUGGAGCUUGCUAAAAAGGAUGAAAUUUGUCCUAUGGUGCCAUUUGACAGCCCCGCAAUGA
rnacentral:rRNA from 1 species